UGAACAGAUUAUUGUAUUCGACUGUAUUCACGGCGUGAAACAGGGGAUAACACUGUUUUUAAACGGAAAGUGAAUCAAUUAACAUAAUAGACUCCU
rfam:Nicotiana sylvestris Nsyl_contig42976, whole genome shotgun sequence.